CAAAAGGAGAAAACGGCAUUCCUCACAUGUGCGGGCUUCAACAGAUACAGGUCUGAUUGGAGACUGGAGCAUGUAAGAGGACUGUCAUCAGUGGUCCAGAAUCUCUUGGCUACUCCCAACUGGCAGCUUGACCUCCUACUGUAUUGGAAAAAAGAGUGCAGAAACCUAUUUUGAUGCUUCUUCCAGCAACCUAUGAACUUAACACCAGGUUUAAACAAAAAGGAAUGCAAACCAGCUUGACAAUUAGCAAGGCUGCUCUGAUACAACAAAUAUGUUGCAAGCCUGAAGACAGUGCCAGCCAGUGAGGAAGAAGAGAACCUGCCUAUGGAGCCGCAAGAGCAAGCUACAACCCACCAGUCUCCUUAUUAGACACCUAGGAGUUGUCUUCUCUGUCCUUACAGCAGGAACUUUUGAUGAGAAACUGGUCAGACAUUCGAGAGUGGCGGAAAGCCUGUCAAGGUCACUGCCAAGGACAAGGGAGUCAAUUAGUAUGCAGAUCAGAGCCAAGGAGUUCAAAGAUCUGGCAAGCUGAAAAAGUACAGUAUUUUCCUGAGAGAAGUAAAGGUCCUGUUCUCCAGUCCCUUAGUUGCUCUGAAGCCUUUCCAACUCUUCAACUGCAGCCAGAGGUAUAAACUCUGAUCAGUAUACUCUUCGAGGAUUGGUCCCAAUGCCAUUGAAAACACAUGUAACUUUUCUACUUCUACUCUCUAUUCCCUUGUUUAUCCAUCUAAGGACGGAGUUAGUUCUUUUAGCUAGUGUCACAUAUUAAGCAGAUGAAAAGGAUUAAUGGAUCUAGGAGUCAAUUUUUAAAAGUUUACACCAGAGUGAAUGCUAUUAUAAGAGCCUUUAAUGAGAAUGAAUCUGUGCAAAUAUCACUGACAGCACCUCUUCAGCAUUUGUUUUACAGUAGAGAUGGUUGCACAUUAAAUGUCUUUUGGCAAGAGACUUAAGGAUUCUACUGGGACCAGUCUACCUUUUGGUACUCUGUUCCUUGAGAAAUCUUACUAUUUCCUACUUGAGUAAGUCUAGCAAAACCUGCUGUUUCUCUGAAAGUGCAUUAUUUUGUUAACAUUCAUUUUCAAUCUUUCUAAACUUGCUAGUAACAUAUAUUUCAAUAGAUUUGUUUAAUGUGGUAUGAACACAGAAAAGAGAAUAGUUAGCAGUAGCUGGAGAAAAAGGGUGCAAAUAGAAGUUGAAUGUUGAAUUGAAAAUGUUAUGAGUUGAAGUUCAAAAUGUUGGCUAUUUGCCAUAAUUUCUUCUCUAAAUUAUAACCAACUGGUUCUAUUACAGAUGCUACCUCCUAGUAAGUGACAUUUUCUGAGAAAUAGUGAUAAUUCAGUGAAAGUAUAUGGAGGGAGGGGGUGAAAGAAGCACAGUCAAGAGAAUGUGGUGAGAGGAAAUGAUGAAAGGCCAUAAUAACAUAGGAGGAAAUAGCAGAACAUGUGGCAAGCAUACUGAGGACUGCAUGCAUUUUAUGUGUCACAUUACCUCCAAAGAGGUUCUUAAGAAUUGAAAGCAUAGGAAGACAGUAUAUAGCAAAGCUCACAGGACCUAAUUAUGUGGGACAAAUUAGUCUGCAAGACCUUCAUAAUCUAUCUAAAGACGUGGGUGUAGUAGUAAGUUAAUGAACAGGUUAUUAUGACUGACUGUCUGAAAUUCCAUGUGUGCCACAUGUUAAAGAGCUUAUGUGCAGUAAACAGAGAACUAUUGGAGGUUUUAAUGUAUAUGAAUGUAUAUGAAACAGUAUAGUGACAUAAGGGAGUUAGGAACAAGAGUGAAGAGUUUCCAGCGGUUGAUUUGAGCAAAAUGGGCUCGGUUGUCUUUGAAGACAGAGUAGCAAGCAUUGUGGAGCUAUAGUUUAGCAAAGAAUAAUCAGCAAGUUCUAAAUCAUGACAAUCAGAUAGAUUUGCCUAAGGCUGCUUAUCUACUACCUCAAGGUAUUUAAAAGUUUAUUGGCAGAACUAAGCUUUGAAAUGAGAAGAACAGUUAAACAGUACCGCGAUGGUAGCCUUCAGUUAGGAAUCACCUGGCAGCAAGAAUGAAUGAUCAGCAAGAUAAAUAGACUAUCUCAUGUGAAAAAUUUCAAAUGGAUGGGAAUAAAGGUGCCAGUGAGAUGCCA
rnacentral:lncRNA from 1 species